rnacentral:sRNA from 1 species
UAAUAAUUCUUCCAAUAAUUUAAU